rnacentral:lncRNA from 1 species
AUACGAACUUGAGGUUUUUGAGACAGGCUUCCUUUCAUAUAUCCAAGUUAGUCUCCCACCUGCUCAUAUAUCAGAGGAGAACCCUGAACUGCUCAUCUUCCUGGCCCCACCUCCUGGUGUUGGAGGUGUGCACCCCCUUCCCUACCCACCUCGCUCAUUAAGGGAGACAGCAAUCACACCAUUAGAGAAAAAAUUCUUUGGGAUAAGUUAAGGACCAGAAAAUGAAGGGGGUUUUGUCUGUUUUGAGAAAAUCGGAAAGGGACAUUUGACACUCACUUCUACACCCAUCUGCAGUGUGCUGUGUGUUUGAUGUCACAGCUUUCAGAAACAUCCGGAAGCGCUCCCCCCAUGACCGCAGGCUGUUUUCAGGGACAUGAGACGCCAUAGGAAAACAGAGAACACUGUAAAAAUCGGUCUUUUUCCUCCUGGUCCCAGGCUCCCAGAAUAAUGCCUGUGAGACUCAACUAUAUUUACAAAUACCUAGGCCAGUAAGCUUUGGCUGUCUCCUGAUUAGAUCAUAACUUAAUAUCCCAUUUAUUCUAAGUUCUGCCGCAUGGCUGGUCACCUCUGCUCAGCUCCGGUGCUUCUAACCUCCAUGUUCCCAGGCGAAUGCUCUCAAGCUUGGCUAAAUCCCAGAAUUCAAUCUCCCAACUGAUGUCCUACUUUCUAUUUGCUGCCUAAACUUAUAGGCUAAUCAGCAUUUUAUUGACAGGUGUUGAAUCCAAGACUGCUCCUUUUUUUUAAUUAUUAUUUUUUCAAAAUAGAUACAUCAAGUCUGAUCGUCUAUUUACCCGUUCCUUCCACUUACCCACCAAGUCAGUUCAGGAGUAUCACCAUAAGGGGCUUGGAAAGGGUUAAUUAGAGCAGUCUCAAAUCUCUGCCUUUGAUUUGGUUUUCCUGUAGGGUUUCAGUGAGGGAAACAACCUCAGGAGAUGGCACUAAGCCCUUAGUCUUGGGUACUGUGAGUCAGUCUCUGGGCUACAACGGCAGCAGUCAGACACUCAGUUCUGUGGCUCUCUCUGCCCAUGUUUCCCUUCUAUUCGAUGCAUUGUACUAUCAGCUACUCUUCCAACUCUUUCGUUCUGAGGGUGAAAUAUGCAAAAAGUUCAUAAAACAGUUUGCAGCUUAACUGAAACAAGCGCUUGGGUAGGCACAGCCCAGUCUUAUCAAGAUGCUAUCUAGAACCACUGCUCCUUUGCCUUAUGCUUAGCUUUAUUUGUCUGGAAUGAGAUAGGUCUAGGUUCACUUUUCCCCAAUGAAGAUGCAGUUAUUCUCAGCACCACAUAUUAAAAGACUGUCCUUUCAGCUGUCAGUCUGUGGGGACAUUUACUCACUGCGAUAUCUUUGAUGUAAAACUAUUCUAGAAAUGUAUAUUAUAAGUGAGAAAUGAAGGUCCUACACUCUCCCUCUCACCCCUAGCCUACUAUUUCUUAAAGGUGAUAACUAAUAUAAUUUGAGAUGGGGCCAUUUGUAAUUUAUUCUGUAUAUACCUGAAAGUUGUUUUACAAAAAUUGUACUGAAUUGAUUGAACUGCUGUGGUCCGUGUUUCCUAUGACUGUCUCAGAUUACACUUGCCCAUUGUUUCAGAUCGUUCUACUCUGUCUCCCUUUAAGUGACCUGUGACCCUCCCAGAUGCCUUCUUGGUAUUGGCCCUUUAACAAAGCCUGGGUGAUUUUCUUAAGUGAAUGCGAGGAGCUACAGAAGACAAGGAUAUCUGUGUGUGAAUCCAUUUUGGACAUAAUGAUCUCUUUGUCCAGAACUAGCUACGGAGGCAUCAACAGAACGCUGGACAUUCCUGUGACUCUGGGAUAAACCUUUAUGUCUGUGUCAUGAGAUGAACCUGUGCCCCAGAUGGCUUUUAAGAAUAAAGUGUUGCAUAUGCCCU